rnacentral:tRNA from 2 species
GCCAGCGUAGCUCAGGGGUAGAGCAGCUGAUUCGUAAUCAGCAGGUCGCGGGUUCGAAUCCCACCGCUGGCUCCA